AACGAACGCUGGCGGCAUGCCUAACACAUGCAAGUCGAACGAGACCUUCGGGUCGAGUUGCGCACGGGUGCGUAACGCGUGGGAACCUGCCCUUAGGUUCGGAAUAACUCCCCGACAGGGGUGCUAAUACCGGAUAAUGUCUUCGGACCAAAGAUUUAUCGCCUUUGGAUGGGCCCGCGUUGGAUUAGCUAGUUGGUAGGGUAAAAGCCUACCAAGGCGAAGAUCCAGAGCUGGUCUGAGAGGAUGAUCAGCCACACUGGGACUGGGACCCGGCCCAGACUCCUACGGGAGGGAGCAGGGGGGAAUAUUGGACAAUGGGCGAAAGCCUGAUCCAGCAAUGCCGCGGGAGUGAUGAAGGCCUUAGGGUUGUAAAGCUCUUUUACCCGGGAUGAUAAUGACAGUACCGGGAGAAUAAGCUCCGGCUAACUCCGUG
rnacentral:rRNA from 1 species